AUGAACGCUGGCGGCGUGCCUAAUACAUGCGAGUCGAGCGAACAGAUGAGGAGCUUGCUCCUCUGACGUUAGCGGCGGACGGGUGAGUAACACGUGGAUAACCUACCUAUAAGACUGGGAUAACUUCGGGAAACCGGAGCUAAUACCGGAUAAUAUAUUGAACCGCAUGGUUCAAUAGUGAAAGACGGUUUUGCUGUCACUUAUAGAUGGAUCCGCGCCGCAUUAGCUAGUUGGUAAGGUAACGGCUUACCAAGGCAACGAUGCGUAGCCGACCUGAGAGGGUGAUCGGCCACACUGGAACUGAGACACGGUCCAGACUCCUACGGGAGGCAGCAGUAGGGAAUCUUCCGCAAUGGGCGAAAGCCUGACGGAGCAACGCCGCGUGAGUGAUGAAGGUCUUCGGAUCGUAAAACUCUGUUAUUAGGGAAGAACAAAUGUGUAAGUAACUAUGCACGUCUUGACGGUACCUAAUCAGAAAGCCACGGCUAACUACGUG
rnacentral:rRNA from 1 species